rnacentral:rRNA from 1 species
GAUGAACGCUGGCGGCGUGCCUAAUACAUGCAAGUCGAGCGAACAGACGAGGAGCUUGCUCCUCUGACGUUAGCGGCGGACGGGUGAGUAACACGUGGAUAACCUACCUAUAAGACUGGGAUAACUUCGGGAAACCGGAGCUAAUACCGGAUAAUAUAUUGAACCGCAUGGUUCAAUAGUGAAAGACGGUUUUGCUGUCACUUAUAGAUGGAUCCGCGCCGCAUCAGCUAGUUGGUAAGGUAACGGCUUACCAAGGCAACGAUGCGUAGCCGACCUGAGAGGGUGAUCGGCCAAACUGGAACUGAGACACGGUCCAGACUCCUACGGGAGGCAGCAGUAGGGAAUCUUCCGCAAUGGGCGAAAGCCUGACGGAGCAACGCCGCGUGAGUGAUGAAGGUCUUCGGAUCGUAAAACUCUGUUAUUAGGGAAGAACAAAUGUGUAAGUAACUAUGCACGUCUUGACGGUACCUAAUCAGAAAGCCACGGCUAACUACGUG